GAUGAAGAACGUAGCGUAAUGCGAUAAGUAAUGUGAAUUGCAGAAUUCAGUGAAUCAUCGAAUCUUUGAACGCACCUUGCGCCCUUUGGCUAUUCCGAAGGGCAUGUCUGUUUGAGUAUCAUGAACACCUCAACUCUUUAUGGUUUUCCAUGAAGGGCUUGGACUUUGGGGGUCUUGCUGGCCUUUAGUCAGCUCCUCUCAAACGAAUCAGCUUUCCAGUGUUUGGCAGCGUCACAGGUGUGAUAACUAUCUACGCUUGUGGUUUUCUGCCAGGUAAUCCUCAGUGAUGGGGAUUCGCUGGGGCUUAUAAAUGUCUCUCCUCAGCGAAGACAGCUUUGUGAACGUUUGAUCUCAAAUCAGGUAGGACUACCCGCUGAACUUAAGCAUAUCAAUAAGCGGAGGA
rnacentral:misc_RNA from 1 species